AGAAGACAAAUCAGAUUUAAAUGAACAGUGUAACAAUGUAACAGAGAGAACAUUGUCAGAAACAGUCUGUGAAUUAGAGGAUAGAGUUGAAUUAAGAAAUGAUCUUAUUUGCCAGCUUAGAAAUGAAGUUAAACUAGUGUGUGUUAAUACAAGAAAAAUACAGGCACAGAAUCUAAUCCCAGAACCAACAGAUACUGAAAAUGUAUCCUCACAGAAUGACG